UACGGGGGGGGCAAGCGUUGUUCGGAAUUACUGGGCGUAAAGGGCUCGUAGGCGGCCAACUAAGUCAGACGUGAAAUCCCCAGGCUUAACCUGGGAACUGCAUCCGAUACUGGAUGGCUUGAAUCCGGGAGAGGGAUGCAGAAUUCCAGGUGUAGCGGUGAAAUGCGUAGAUAUCUGGAGGAAUACCGGUGGCGAAGGCGGCAUCCUGGACCGGCAUCGACGCUGAUGAGCGAAAGCUAGGGGAGCAAACGGG
rnacentral:rRNA from 1 species